UUUCUUGUUUUCCAGGUAAUGAAUAAAAACAGAAUUGUUUUUUUACAAAAUGUUCUUAGUGUUUCCUGCAAACCGUGAGACGGGUGUGUUUCUCACCUCCCACUCUCAUAUGCACUUGCUUCUUAUCUCCCAUCCCCAUCUGACAUGUGCCUGGCACUUGCUGUGUAGCCGGCCUGGCUUAAAAUUUGUUUCUAUACUUCCUUCUCUGCCUGCCAGUUCUGUGAUGACAAGUGUGCACCAUGCACGACUUUCCACACUUUAUUUGCACUUAUCUAUGACCGUUGCCCUAUACAACAUCUCUGUCCUAAAUGGCAUCUUCCCUCCUUCCUCCCUUCCUUCCCUUCACCAGUCAAUUUCUUCAGAAACACCAGAAGGAUCUAAAAUAAAAAUAUUAUAUUACCAAUCUCUUAAAAAUGUUUUGGGCCAGUGACAUGAUUCAGUCGGUAAAAUGGCCAGCCAGGGCCCACAUGGUGAAAAGGAGAACCAACUAUCCCAUGCUGUCUUCUUGCCUUUACACACAAGCUCAUGCUCACACACAUAAACACACACACAAGCACGCACACACUCUGUGGCGCUCAGAUUAUACACUCAUAGAUAAACAAAUGCAAUAAUUUUUAAAUGUAUUGUCCUCGUUGCCUUCUGAAGACUCUAUACUAUAGAACACGAGAGUAAGACCCUUCAUUGUCUGACUCACCGGUCUACUUUAGCCAGUCUCUGCAUCCCAGCUCUCCUCACAGCCAGCAGCUAUCUCACUCUGUCUUCAUCUCCACAUCCAGCCAAGACACAGUCUUCUUUUUCUGAUUCAAAGGCCCUCCUCUUCCGUCUUAUGAAGUCUUGAUGUCUGAAUAUUGGAACUUCCACAGCACUAUUACCUCAGGCCACUCCCACUGAUAGACCAAAGACUAGGCAACUUUAUAAGGAAAAUUAAUCUGCUUUGGGCUCAUGGACCUGAAUUACAAGUCUAAAGUCUGCAUUUUAUGAUGGUUCUCUUGCUGGUAGAAUUCAAGGGACUACUGGGUAUGAUGGUUUAGCUAGAUCGCCUAAUUUGAUGGAAUGGAGAGAUGCCUAUGAAAUUGUUAAAUCACCUGUCAAGGCCUUCAAAGGAGGUGGAUAAUGAAAGAAAGAGCCUCAAAUCCAAGCCAGCACGAUCAGUGAACAUCUGAGGGUAGAGUGUAAAAUAGAGAACAUUCUAAGAUCUCACUUUGUGAAAAGCAGACAGCUCAUCAUUACAUCAGCCCAGUAGUCCACUAAUGCAUCAUGCAUGUGAGAGCAGCCAGUCUGAGGACUAUGAGUUUCUCCAAGGAAGAUCAAGGAUAAGGAUGUGCUGAAAGGAAGAAAUGGUGACUUGUUUCCAGCAUAAUUUUACUGUACGCUUUCUUAAAUAAGAGCAUAAGUCCGAUUGGGCUCAAAAUGUUAAGACCAUCCCUCCAAAAGACAAAUGAAUUGUCAAUGUUCCUUUGUGAAUAUUCAUUCGGUAAAAUUAUUUCUACAUUUAUGUACAUUUUUAUUUACACAAUUUACCACUACAGAAUCAUUUCAUAAUACGUGUUCUGAAUCAAAAGUAAAUCAAUAAAAUUUAGUGUCUCCCUUCAAGGACAUCAUAGUGUACAACAAAGAGAAAACAUUUAUGUGAAGAAUGGAAGAAAUGGAGCAGAGGUGAGGACGAGGGAUUUGAACUGAGUUGAAGUCUGUGCUCUGAAUCCACCAACUAUGAUAGCAGGGUUGCCUUAUUUGAAGUAGUGAGAACCCAAGAAGAGUAUUUUCCCACCUACAGACUGAAGAAUACUCUUCUCAACCUCCAAGUAAAUAAACCACACUUAGCAAUGCACUGAACGCUUUCAUCUGCAAGAAAAAAGUUCCAGACUACUAGCCUUAGGCACAUUGAAAGCAUCAUGGCACCAUACCUUUGAGUCUUCUGUGUUAAAGAUGUAGGCCAUAGGAAGAAUUCAUUAUGUGUACCACAUAAUGAUGAUCUCACAAAAGAAAAAAACUGCACUUAAUGAUAUUUGGCUACAUAGCGAGAUGCCUGAAUACUCUGGGGCUAGUAAAAUCUGGCUCAGUUAUUCUAACACAGUGGGCUGAAAUACGCAACAGCUAGGGGGAAACAGGCUUCUAGGUGUGCAAUAGCCGGUGACUGACAUUGAUCUGCACUGAAUCUGAGCAUAGGGAGCCUGACAAAAUAGAACAGUGGAAGGUGGCAAACAUAUGAGAAAGGAGUAUGGACUUAGUCGGUAGAGACACUUUAGAAGGUAUCUGUCUUCAUUUCAUAACACGCCCAACAGCUGGAGGCCUACCUCUUCCUGGAAAUAAAGGUUAACCCUACCCCUUUCUGAGGUCAACAUGUCUGCACAGCCUUCUAGCUCAGGAGCACUUCUGGGUUACUUUUUUUAAGCAUGUAAAUUUCCUUAUAAUUAUGGAAUAGUCCUAACUCCCAAUCUCACUCCAAUUUGCCAAUAAAAGGACAGCCCAGUUCACUAAUUAGCAGGAGACUAAGUGGUAGAAUUAUUCUUAUAAACCUAUAUCCAUCCUAACUCUCCCUCACUUUGAGUAUAAAAAGGGAGGCUAGGGAGAAUUGUUAGUACUUGGGAGAGACACAGAGACAUUGUGAACCCAGCCUGAAAAAUCAAUUAAGAAAAAGAAGACAGUUUGAGUGAGAUUCUGGUUUUCCUCAGCAGUCAGUGAAGGGUACCCCUGUUAUUGAUAGACUGCUAUGGGGCUGCUGUGCCUCCAUGAGCUCAUGUAGUCCAGUGCUGGCAUCCUGGAAGUGUAUAAGUUAAUAAUGAUGCCCAGUAAUGCUGCAUACAAGAUUUUUGACAUCUUCACACUGGGACUAAUAAUCUCUUGCUUUUCUUAAAGCAUUCCCAGUACCAUGUUAUUUUGGAACAUACUACUCAAAUCUGGAAUGGUAGCACAGGCUGUUGUUUUCUAAAUAAUUCUCUGGUUUUAGAUUCUGAAUAUCCUCAUCUUCAAAACAUUCUUAGCAGUGCUGGAGUCGAGUUCCAACACAAACUUGUCAAUAAUCUAUGUGGGCUGCUUGACGCUUCAUCCCAAACAAAUACAUAGUUCUGCAGUCAAUACUUGUGGAGGUAAAACAAAAUUAGUUUGUGAUAUGCCAUCAUUACUCAGUAUUGUUUAUAAGCAAUAAAAAUUUGGCUCAAUAGAAA